GAUGAACGCUGGCGGCGUGCUUAACACAUGCAAGUCGAACGAGAAGUGGAGACGGAAACCUUCGGGCGGAAGACUUUACUUCGAGUGGCGGACGGGUGAGUAACGCGUGGGUAACCUGCCUCAUACAGGGGGAUAACAGUUGGAUACGACUGUUAAUACCGCAUAAGACCACAGCAUCGCAUGGUGCGGGGGUAAAAACUCCUGUGGUAUGAGAUGGACCCGCGUUCGAUUAGCCAGUUGGCGGGGUAACGGCCCACCAAAGCGACGAUCGAUAGCCGAUCUGAGAGGAUGACCGGCCACAUUGGGACUGAGACACAGCCCAAACUCCUACGGGAGGCAGCAGUGGGGAAUAUUGCACAAUGGCGGAAACCCUGAUGCAGCGACGCCGCGUGAGUGAAGAAGUAUGUCGGUAUGUAAAGCUCUAUCAGCAGGGAAGAAAAUGACAGUACCUGAGUAAGAAGCCACGGCUAACUACGUG
rnacentral:rRNA from 1 species